rnacentral:rRNA from 1 species
AACGCUGGCGGCGUGCCUAAUACAUGCAAGUCGAGCGGACAGAUGGGAGCUUGCUCCCUGAUGUUAGCGGCGGACGGGUGAGUAACACGUGGGUAACCUGCCUGUAAGACUGGGAUAACUCCGGGAAACCGGGGCUAAUACCGGAUGGUUGUUUGAACCGCAUGGUUCAAACAUAAAAGGUGGCUUCGGCUACCACUUACAGAUGGACCCGCGGCGCAUUAGCUAGUUGGUGAGGUAAUGGCUCACCAAGGCAACGAUGCGUAGCCGACCUGAGAGGGUGAUCGGCCACACUGGGACUGAGACACGGCCCAGACUCCUACGGGAGGCAGCAGUAGGGAAUCUUCCGCAAUGGACGAAAGUCUGACGGAGCAACGCCGCGUGAGUGAUGAAGGUUUUCGGAUCGUAAAGCUCUGUUGUUAGGGAAGAACAAGUACCGUUCGAAUAGGGCGGUACCUUGACGGUACCUAACCAGAAAGCCACGGCUAACUACGUGCCAGCAGCCGCGGUAAUACGUAGGUGGCAAGCGUUGUCCGGAAUUAUUGGGCGUAAAGGGCUCGCAGGCGGUUUUUUAAGUCUGAUGUGAAAGCCCCCGGCUCAACCGGGGAGGGUCAUUGGAAACUGGGGAACUUGAGUGCAGAAGAGGAGAGUGGAAUUCCACGUGUAGCGGUGAAAUGCGUAGAGAUGUGGAGGAACACCAGUGGCGAAGGCGACUCUCUGGUCUGUAACUGACGCUGAGGAGCGAAAGCGUGGGGAGCGAACAGGAUUAGAUACCCUGGUAGUCCACGCCGUAAACGAUGAGUGCUAAGUGUUAGGGGGUUUCCGCCCUUUAGUGCUGCAGCUAACGCAUUAAGCACUCCGCCUGGGGAGUACGGUCGCAAGACUGAAACUCAAAGGAAUUGACGGGGGCCCGCACAAGCGGUGGAGCAUGUGGUUUAAUUAGAAGCAACGCGAAGAACCUUACCAGGUCUUGACAUCCUCUGACAAUCCUAGAGAUAGGACGUCCCCUUCGGGGGCAGAGUGACAGGUGGUGCAUGGUUGUCGUCAGCUCGUGUCCUGAGAUGUUGGGUUAAGUCCCGCAACGAGCGCAACCCUUGAUGUUAGUUGCCAGCAUUCAGUUGGGCACUAUAAGGUGACUGCCGGUGACAAACCGGAGGAAGGUGGGGAUGACGUCAAAUCAUCAUGCCCCUUAUGACCUGGGCUACACACGUGUUACAAUGGACAGAACAAAGGGCAGCGAAACCGCGAGGUUAAGCCAAUCCCACAAAUCUGUUUUCAGUUCGGAUCGCAGUCUGCAACUCGACUGCGUGAAGCUGGAAUCGAUAGUAAUCGCGGAUCAGCAUGCCGCGGUGAAUACGUUUCCGGGCCUUGUACACACCGCCCGUCACACCACGAGAGUUUGUAACACCCGAAGUCGGUGAGGUAACCUUUUAGGAGCCAGCCGCCGAAGGUGGGACAGAUGAUUGGGGUGAAGUCGUACCAAGGUAGCCGUA